rnacentral:rRNA from 1 species
UACGUAGGGAGCAAGCGUUAUCCGGACUUAUUGGGUGUAAAGGGUGCGUAGACGGAGAAGCAAGUUAGUUGUGAAAUCCCUCGGCUUAACUGAGGAACUGCAACUAAAACUACUUCCCUCGAGUACUGGAGAGGAAAGUGGAAUUCCUAGUGUAGCGGUGAAAUGCGUAGAUAUUAGGAGGAACACCAGUGGCGAAGGCGACUUUCUGGACAGUGACUGACGUUGAGGCACGAAAGUGUGGGGAGCAAACAGG